AGAGUUUGAUCCUGGCUCAGAUUGAACGCUGGCGGCAUGCCUUACACAUGCAAGUCGAACGGCAGCACGGGGGCAACCCUGGUGGCGAGUGGCGAACGGGUGAGUAAUACAUCGGAACGUGUCCUGGAGUGGGGGAUAGCUCGGCGAAAGCCGGAUUAAUACCGCAUACGCUCUGUGGAGGAAAGCGGGGGAUCUUCGGACCUCCCGCUCCAGGGGCGGCCGAUGGCAGAUUAGCUAGUUGGUGGGGUAAAGGCCUACCAAGGCGACGAUCUGUAGCUGGUCUGAGAGGACGACCAGCCCCACUGGGACUGAGACACGGCCCAGACUCCUACGGGAGGCAGCAGUGGGGAAUUUUGGACAAUGGGGGAAACCCUGAUCCAGCAAUGCCGCGUGUGUGAAGAAGGCCUUCGGGUUGUAAA
rnacentral:rRNA from 1 species